rnacentral:lncRNA from 1 species
UUUUUUUUUUUUUUUUUUGGAUGCACCUAUGGCAUAUGGAAGUUCCCAGGACCGGGAUCGAAUCCAAGCCACAGCUAUGACCUAUGCUCUAGCUGUGGCAACACUGGAUCUGUAACUCACUGGACUGGGCCAAGGAUUGAACCCAUGCCUCUGCAGUGACUCAAGCCACUGCAGAGACAAUGCCAGAUCCCUAACCCACUAUGCCACAGCAGGAACUCCUUCUUUGGCCAUUCUUAAUUAUCUACUAUGUGCCAAGAAAUCAGCUUGACCAUAGGAAGUGAGGAUUUGAUAUAUAACCUCAAGAGUGGACCAUGUGGUUUGAGGAACGGAGUUGGGAGCAUGAGGUGAAGAGAGCGCCUAACUCGGGGCAUGAAGAUAGGGAAGACACAUCCGGGGAAGUGUCUGGGGAAGUGAUGGGGAAGGCCCUAGAGGGAGGGCCCAGUGGGCUUGAAGGACCAGGGAAGCCAAAGCCUCACCUAAGCUAAUGUCUAAAGGAUGAGUAGGAGAUAACCACCUGGACAGGAGAGAAAGAAACAGGUUCAAAGAAGGGAAUAACAGGCUUUGAGAAGGGGAGGCUGUGUCAGGGACACUAGGCAGCCUGUGUAGCCAGACUCUGGGCUGGGAUGAGGUAGAGAGGUUAAGAGAUGAGGCUGGGAGCUCGGAGGAGCCAGGUCCCACCUUCUUUCUCACACACUUACAUAUGACCUCUUGUCUUCUGUGUUUUAGCUGUGUGAGUUGGGAAAGUUACUUAACACCCCCCCCCCAUGCAACAGUUUUCUUAUCUUUAAAGUAGACAUGAAAUAAUACUGACUUCAUAGGGUUAAAUUGCUUAUGAGGAUAAACUGAGAUCUUACAUGCAUGUGAAGGGACGAACCUUUUCACGUAAUGCUAGAACAUAGUGCCAACUAUUCUCUAUUAAAAGUUUCUUGGAGUCACCUGUUUGAUCCAGGACUCUGUAAGUGAACCUAGCUAGGCCAUGUGCUCAGAGCCACUCUACUAUCAGCAAGGGUUCUCAGUUGCAAGCAGAAUAUUAACUCUGGCAUCUUCGCAAGAGGGGGUUGGAGGCUCCAGCAUCAGUAGACACUAGAGGACCAGCCUUGGGAAGAAGACAGGAAUCAAGGAAACUUUUUUUUUAAAAAAUAGGGCUGCAUGUGCAGCAUAUGGAAGUUCCAAGGCUAGGGGUUGAAUUGGAGCUACAGCUGCCGGCCUAUGACACAGCCACAGCCACAGCAACUUGGGAUCCAAAUCGCAUCUGUGACCUACACCACAGCUCACGGCAACACUGGAUCCUUAACCCACUGAGCGAGGCCAGGGGUUGGACCCUCAUGUCCAUGGAUACUAGUUGGGUUUGUUACUUCUGAGCCAUAAUGGGAACUCAAGAAACUCUUUAGUUGUCAAGGAGACAAAUAGCCAAAGACAACCAUUCAUGUUCUGGAAAAUAGCCAGGUUGUACCAUCCUUUGGUACCCUCACCACUGAUGCUGGACAGCAUGGCAACUGAGAAUGAACCCUAAUCCUCCUUCAUCUGAGCAACUUUGCGGGGUGCUGGAGCAGGAGAGAGUGAGGAGUCCCUCCACCCACUGUGACUUUCCUCGUGAGUGUAGGCUGCUUCUUCCCAUGGGGUUUCCUGCCACAUAAGAAGAGCCAUUGCUAUAAGAAUGAAGAGAUGUCCCUCUGUGUCCUGCCUCUUUGGCUGCCCAAUCUCUAUGCAAACCUUUCUUUCUAAACAUAUUCUUUUUUUUGUUUUAAAAAUUUUUAUUGAAAUAUAGUUGAUUUAUGGUGUUGUGUUAGUUUCAUGUGUACAUAAAAUGAUUCAAUUAUCAUAUACAUAUAUGUAUAGUUACAUAUCACACACCCACCCACACCCACCCACACACACAAAUCCUUGUUACUGUUGAAAAAGUAACUUCUCCUCAAAGGAACAAAAACAAAAGUCUUACUGGCUAUUUCAUCCAGAUGGUGCCUCCAGUUCUUUCUGGAAAUCUAUUUGAAAAGUUCGCUAUGUCCCACAUAUACAGUAAGUAGUGGGGAAAGUGGAGAGGAAAGAAGAAACUUCAGUAAAAUAUGUGAAUAUUUGACACUGUUAAGGAAGGAAAUAUCAGAUAGAGGCUCUGGUUCUUGUUUCUGCAUAACUGACAUUUGCGACUUUUCUUCACGAUUUCAUUGCAAUGGCUUUUGCCUUCAGCCAGUGCUUUCCUGGUCACCCUGUUUGGUAGCCCAGAUAUUUAGUUUUAAGGGACAUAUGCCCUUGGUUUCGGGCUGAAGAAAUUUCCCACUAACCUUUGCUAUUAGAUGUGGCAGAAUCAGGGGUCCCCAGCUUCCAGUCUUACCACUCCUGUGUUCCUAUCACUACGAUCUUAUUUUUCCUUGACAGUCAGGGUCAAACAUGGCCAGUGUGGUAACUGGCCUUCUUUUCAGGCUCUUUGCUCCGGGGCACAAGGAAUCGGAAAUGACCAAAUGGACGUAGUAAGUUCCAGUUCAGCAUCACUUUUGUUAUGUCACCUCAUGGAAGCAUUUCUCCCCAAAGAGUCACUUCCCCCCAAAUCACUGAGCCAGUAAGUCCCAAACUUGUGGGUGUGGGAAGCAGGAUUGUGAGUGGGUGUGAGGGGUGUAGCCUCCUUCAAUCCCUGGGUUCUGGACACUUUAUUCUGUCAGCAACAUCAUCAUCAUAAGUUGUUCCCUUGUUCUGAGUAGUUGUCACUUUCUGCAGGAUGGUGCCCGCCUUGUGAGCUGUUACCCUGCUAGUGUGGUGGCGGAUUUCUGGGACCCCAUUCUGUGAGUACAGUAGCACCUGACAAAGUGCAUAUUAUAAAACAAUCAAAGCCUGUGGGCAUUAAAACCAUUCCUUCCUCCUCCCUCUGUCCCCUUUCUCUUUCUCCCUUCCUGCCCCCACAUCCCUCCCUUCCUUGCAAAGCAGAUGAAGGAAGAAAGGUACUGCUUGGAAUUUUGCUUCCUGGGUAGAUGUCCCUUCUAUGUGGUUCAUGGGUGGAGCUACAAAAAACUACAGUGCUUCUAUCAGUGCACUUGUCAGAAGUAUCUUCCCAGGAGGCUGUAGCGAGGGGUGAUGGAAGAGAUGGAUUAUGGCACGAGAGUGCGGGAGAGUGCGUUCUGGCCGUGGAAGUGUCCUGCUCCUGCCAUUUCCUGGUGCCUUAAGAAACUGUGGAACCUGGUGCCAUGUCUCAUGCACACUGUUUUCUUCUUCUGAUGGGAUGAUGCCACUCAUGUACUUUUUUGUUUUUGUUUUGUUUUGUUUUGCUUUUUAGGGCCUCACCCAAGGAGAUUCCCAGGCUAGGGGUCAACUUGGAGCUAUAGCUUCCCACCUACACCACAGCCACAGCAAUGUGGGAUCUGAGCCUUGCCUGGGAUCUACACUACAGCUCAUGGCAACGCCAGAUCCUUAACCCACUGAGCGAGGGAUCAAACCUGCUUCUUCGUGGAUACUAGUUUGGUUCGUUACCACUGAGCCACUACAGGAACUCCUGCCAGUCAUGCACUUUAUGGCUGGGUGAAUUGUAUAACACCCUGUCCACAGAGCUCAGCUAGGUGUGGGUGCUUAUUUCACGUCCCAUUUUCAGUCCUUUGGUCUCCAGUGGGGCCCACUAACAAUCCGUCCCAUGUUUUUUUUUAAGAGGAGCAUAGUCGUUUGCCUGGAUUUGUUGUUAGACCUCAGAGCUCUUUACCAUGAACCUCAUACUGAGACUUGCUGCCCGUGCCAUAUAGCAUUCUGCUCUGGCACAGACACCCUAAGCAGUGUUGGAUCUUCUAGAUCAUAAGUCUAAGAACUUACUGCAUUACAGCCUGGACUAGGCAGAGAGCCUCCUCCUAUAGCCUACUGCAUUCAAAGCUGGUAGUUUAUUUCCCAGAUGGUUAAAGUGGCAGCAGGAAUGGAGUGUUACAUUGUCUCCAGAAUUCAGAGGCCCACCAAUUAUUGUUUCUUUUUAAGUGGUAGGAAGUGCAAGGUACUACAGCUUGACAUUCACUUUGGGGAGACUGUUCCCACAGGCCUUCAACCACUGGUACCCAUGGAAUUCACAGAAGUCAGGUAGCCCGUUUUUUGUGGGAUUUCUCUCUCAUCCCUUGGCUUGCAUGCAUUUUACCAAAAACAUACUUACUAUUUCCUACAUUCUGGUCCUAAUCAAAUGAUGCUAUUAAUAUAGUGGACUAACAUUUUGCCACCUGAAUGGAAAGAUGAUGAAAGUCUUUGUGGCUAAGUUGUGGUGCAGACCAGUUUGGAGUUUGGGUAUUGUCUUGAGACCGAUCAAGGAUACUGCUGUUUUUGCCAGCUGAAAGCAAACGUCUUCUUAUCUUUUUCUGAUACUUUUAAUGUUACUAAAUCAAGUUCGGCUGCUCGCUGCUGGGAAAAUCAAUACUCAAGAGGGAGACAAAUGUUAGUAUAAAAGGAACAUUGCUUUUCAUCAGAAUGCUGGCAGUGUGGGGGAGAUAAUGGAUUCCGUGUCCCCCAAAACCACUUCUGAAGAUUCUGCUCGCCCAUGAAAGUUUUAAAGGGAAGAAGGGAAGUCGCCUCAGUUAAUCAUCGAGAUGGGGGUUCAAGGUCAUCACCAUCCCCUACUGCCUGCAGGCUCAUCAACUUCUUGUGAUUUUCCUCUAGAUGUUAACCUUGUUCACACAGUUUGGUCACAAGAUUACAGAAGGGGAAGCUAGGGAAGAGGUCUGAUCAUCUGUUAAUUACUUAUUUCUCAUUUCCACCUCUUUGAUCUAUGGUAAGAAUCAACAAGUUAGGCAAGGUAAUUGUGUAAUUAAAAGAUUUGAAAGGUGUGCUUGGGCCGGAGAUGAGUAAAGUGUAGGGGUGCCUGGUUUAAAUAUUAGUUCCAAUAUAAAGUGACAAGAAAAGGGACUUCCUGCUGAGGAUGAUUUCUGCAAAGAGCUGCUUACAAUUAUAGGAAAAAAAAA